GAUGAACACACGAAAAAGGAUAUCUUCCCGAUGCCAAAGAUGAUGACAAAAACAGAUGAUGGUCUUAAUGAAACAGAAAGUUGAGUAUUUCUUCCCUUACUCAUUUUUUUCCCUUUCCCCUUUUUUACUUGUUUACUAACUUUUUUUAAGUGUUUAGGAAGAAGAGACCGACAGAACUGAUCAUGGUUGUCUGGAUGAACACACGAAACACAAGUUUAAUUUCUCCCAUUUCAAUCUCCAUUUGCCAAACUAACUGUUUUUCAGUUUUUUAGAUACCAAGGAAUACGACAUAAAAUGGUGAUUGUCUGUAUAAAACAGAAAAUUUGAGUAUUUCUUUCCUUUCUCAUUUUUCCCUUUCCCCUUUUUUACUUGUUUACUAACUUUUUUUAAGUGUUUAGGAAGAAGAGACCAACAGAACUGAUCAUGGUUGUCUGGAUGAACACACGAAACACAAGUUUAAUUUCUCCCAUUUCAAUCUCCAUUUGCCAAACUAACUGUUUUUCAAUAUUUUAGAUACCAAGGAAUACGACAUAAAAUGGUGAUUGUCUGUAUAAAACAGAAAAGAAGAAGAGGCUGACAAUGAUCAUGUCUUUCAGAUGACGACAGAGCAGCUCCUCGUGGCGUGGAUGAACAGCAAAAUGAG